CAGUCGCCGCGGGAAUACGUAGGGUGCGAGCGUUAAUCGGAAUUACUGGGCGUAAAGCGUGCGCAGGCGGUUGUGUAAGACAGGUGUGAAAUCCCCGGGCUUAACCUGGGAACUGCGCUUGUGACUGCACAGCUAGAGUAUGGCAGAGGGGGGUGGAAUUCCACGUGUAGCAGUGAAAUGCGUAGGGAUGUGGAGGAAUACCGAUGGCGAAGGCAGCCCCCUGGGCCAAUACUGACGCUCAUGCACGAAAGCGUGGGGAGCAAACAGGAUUAGAUACCCCUGUAGUCCCUGUCUCUUAUAC
rnacentral:rRNA from 1 species